AUUUACCAUUACCUAUCAUCAUUACCUACAGCCACACUGGGAAAUGCGUCAGUACAGCUGAGACACGGCCCAGACUCCUACGGGAGGCAGCAGUGGGGAAUAUUGCACAAUGGGGGAAACCCUGAUGCAGCCAUGCCGCGUGUGUGAAGAAGGCCUUCGGGUUGUAAAGCACUUUCAGUUGUGAGGAAAGGUUAGUAGUUAAUACCUGCUAGCUGUGACGUUAGCAACAGAAGAAGCACCGGCUAACUCCGUGCCAGCAGCCGCGGUAAUACGGAGGGUGCGAGCGUUAAUCGGAAUUACUGGGCGUAAAGCGUGCGUAGGCGGUUACAUAAGUCAGAUGUGAAAGCCCGGGGCUCAUUCAACCUCGGAACUGCAUUUGAAACUGUGUGACUAGAGUAUUGUAGAGGGUGGUGGAAUUUCCAGUGUAGCGGUGAAAUGCGUAGAGAUUGGAAGGAACAUCAGUGGCGAAUGCGGCCACCUGGACAAAUACUGACGCUGAGGCACGAAAGCGUGGGGAGCAAACAGGAUUAGAUACCCUGGUAGUCCACGCCGUAAACGAUGUCAACUAGUUGUCUGUGCACUUGAUGCGUGGGUGACGUAGCUAACGCGCUAAGUUGACCGCCUGGGGAGUACGGCCGCAAGGUUAAAACUCAAAUGAAUUGACGGGGGCCCGCACAAGCGGUGGAGCAUGUGGUUUAAUUCGAUAAUCGGACUAUUUACGCACAGCAACGCGAAGAACCUUACCAUCCCUUGACAUCCAGAGAAUUUUUAGACCAGGAUUAGGAUAGA
rnacentral:rRNA from 1 species